CCCUUAGAUGUUCUGGGCUGCACGCGCGCUACACUGAUGCACUCAACGAGUUUACGACCUUGUCCGAGAGGAUUGGGUAAUCUUUUUAAAAUGCAUCGUGAUGGGGAUAGAUUAUUGCAAUUAUUAAUCUUCAACGAGGAAUUCCUAGUAAGCGCGAGUCAUCAGCUCGUGCUGAUUACGUCCCUGCCCUUUGUACACACCGCCCGUCGCUCCUACCGAUUGAAUGUGUUGGUGAGGAGCUCGGAUUGGCAGCAGUUGGUGGUUCGCCACCGGCUAUUGCUGAGAAGUCCUCCAAACCGCCCCAUUUAGAGGAAGGAGAAGUCGUAACA
rnacentral:rRNA from 1 species